rnacentral:rRNA from 1 species
GAUGAACGCUAGCGGCAGGCUUAACACAUGCAAGUCGAGGGGCAGCGUGGAGUAGCAAUACUCUGACGGCGACCGGCGGAAGGGUGCGUAACACGUGAGCGACUUGCCCGUCACAGGGGGAUAACCGGCGGAAACGGCGACUAAUACCCCAUAUGAUGUGAUGCUGCAUGGCAUCGCAUUGAAAGAUUCAUCGGUGGCGGAUAGGCUCGCGGGACAUUAGCUAGACGGCGGGGCAACGGCCCACCGUGGCGACGAUGUCUAGGGGUUCUGAGAGGAAGACCCCCCANACUGGGACUGAGACACGGCCCAGACUCCUACGGGAGGCAGCAGUGAGGAAUAUUGGUCAAUGGGCGAAGCCUGAACCAGCCAUGCCGCGUGAAGGACUAAGGCCCUACGGGUCGUAAACUUCUUAGACGCAGAGCAAUAAGGUCCACGCGUGGACCGAUGAGAGUAUGCGUAGAAUAAGCAUCGGCUAACUCCGUG